AUUGAACGCUGGCGGCAGGCCUAACACAUGCAAGUCGAGCGCGCGGCGGACGGGUGAGUACUGUCUGGGAAACUGCCUGAUGGAGGGGGAUAACUACUGGAAACGGUGUCUAAUACCGCAUACCAUCAGAUGUGCCCACAUGGGAUUAGCUAGUAGGUGGGGUAACGGCUCACCUAGGCGACAAUCCCUCGCUGGUCUGAGAGGAUGACCAGCCACACUGGAACUGAGACACGGUCCAGACUCCUACGGGAGGCAGCAGUGGGGAAUAUUGCACAAUGGGCGCAAGCCUGAUGCAGCCAUGCCGCGUGUGUGAAGAAGGCCUUCGGGUUGUAAAGCACUUUCAGCGGGGAGGCGUUACCCGCAGAAGAAGCACCGGCUAACUCCGUGCCAGCAGCCGCGGUAAUAC
rnacentral:rRNA from 1 species